UACAGAGAUCCCAAGCGUUGUUCGGAUUCAUUGGGCGUAAAGGGUGUGUAGGUGGCGCCGUAAGUCGGGUGUGAAAUCUCGGGGCUUAACUCCGAAACUGCAUUCGAUACUGCGGUGCUUGAGGACUGGAGAGGAGACUGGAAUUCAUGGUGUAGCAGUGAAAUGCGUAGAUAUCGUAAGGAAGACCAGUGGCGAAGGCGGGUCUCUGGACAGUUCCUGACACUGAGGCACGAAGGCCAGGGGAGCAAACGGG
rnacentral:rRNA from 1 species